GACGACGGGACAGAGGCAGCAGUUGGGAAAUGGGGCCACCAGGGAAGUGUGCUUGAAAGGAGUGAGGCUUCAGCAUUGGGGGCUGCAGAGACAAAGCUGGAGAGCCUAGGGGUAUAAAAAGACCUACCAGGAUGAAAACAUGGGCAUCCUGUGCCUUUCAGACCAGGCCUGCAUCUGGGGGCCCCUCCCCAGCGGCAGGAUGGGCCUGAGCGCUCUACAAUAGGAAGAUGGCGCCAGCCCACCAGACAGACGCUCUGAUGUCUACACUGGGACCUGGCAGGUGACACCCGGCCUCCUCCUCCUCACACCCUCCAGCCUCCAGCUCUGGCCAGUACUGAACAGGAGGUGACAGCUACCAGAGAGCGACAGUCACUUUAGGGCGAAAGGCUGCCUUGGCAGAUGUUGGUCUCAAAAGAUUCUCCUGCCUUGGCCUCCCUGCACCCGGGGCUACAGGUGCAUGCCAUCACACCCAGC